rnacentral:misc_RNA from 1 species
AAGUCGUAACAAGGUUUCCGUAGGUGAACCUGCGGAAGGAUCAUUAAAGAGAUUACAAAUCGACCCUGUGCACCAAAUAAAUAACUGUAGUGAUAUAUUAUAUACUAUAAUAAUGUAUACAACUUUUAGCAACGGAUCUCUAGGUUCUC